rnacentral:sRNA from 1 species
GCUGGGUGUGGUGGCCUGUACCUGUAAUCCCAGUGACUCAGGAGGCUGAGGCAGGAGGAUUCCAAAUUUGAGGCCAACCUUAGCAACUUAGCAAGUAUUUGUCUCAA